rnacentral:lncRNA from 1 species
CUUGAAGUCACCUGACUUUCUCUCACAAAAGGUUGGGCCUUCCAGCUCAAAGCCCUUUGUUCCUGAGCCUCUUUUUCCAGGAAGCUGGUCUUGAGAAAAACACCUGCUUUAGGGACAGGAGCUACUCACCGUAAAAGUCACUUGGAGGCCUGACUGCAUGGGGUGCAGCGUCCUUGUGAAGAGUCCUCAGAUGGCUCUAGAGCUGGCAGUGCUGCUUUUCAGUAUUCAGGUGCCUAUGGACCAGAAGGCGAAACCAACUGGGCCUGGCUCCUGGAAAGCGAGAGAACCAGGGGACCACAACAACAAGGAAACAGUCUGGCGGCCACAGAAAGUGAUGUUUGCUCAGGGAGCCUCCGUUCUUACAAAGGGGUUUCCCCAGAGACCCUGCGGAGAACUGUCAACAGAAAUCCAAACUCCUCCUAAUCCGAAAGACAAUCCUAUCUGGCGUAGCCCCGGGCCCUCUAGGACCGGUUUAAACUGAC